GCAGUGGUGGUUUAGCGGUAGAAUUCUCACUUUCCAUGUGGGGGACCUGGGUUCCAUUCCUGGCCAAUGCA
rnacentral:tRNA from 1 species